AUGCUACUCCCUCCGUUCCAUAAUUCUUGUCAAAAUAUUACAUGUAUCUAGACGCUUCUUAGGAAUAGAUACAUCCAUUUUUGGGCAAAUUUGAGACAAGAAUUAUGGAACGGAGGGAGUAACUG
rnacentral:pre_miRNA from 1 species